UGCAACUUAGGGCUGGGGGAUACUGGAGUCGCGCCAUGAAAGCAAUCCUGCUGUUGCUGAUGUGGCUAUUCUGUCUCUGAGUUGAUGAAAUUCACAAUCCUUGGUUUGAUCGCCACUGAGCAACUUUCUUUGCAGAUGUCGUGAUUUGGGGGAAAAGUUCGGCAUUUUUCGCUUUGGCAAGCUGUAGGGCACGCAGACGUGAACUGACAGGAUCGUUGUACACGUACAGUGUCUAGAGCGACAGGAGUGUCAUUGCGUGACUGCAGUGCUGACAUCGCAGCACUGAUUUCACAAUGCAAGACUGAUAAGCAGUGCGAAACAUUGUUGGAUUGUGUAAAAGACAGUGUGCAGAAUGGGUUACAUUGUUAAACUGUGAAAUACACUUUUCGAACGGUAAGGGUAAGACACUCAGCUUUCAUAGCACUGAUCAGUGGAAACUAUUGUUUACAAAUGUUGCAUGCAAAGCGACACUAUUUAAUUAAAUAGGAUACAGCAUUUCAAAGAAACCUAACUAUUAGAUAGCUUAUUGAAGGGUAUUUCAACUGUAGCUGUUGUCAUGAUAUCAGUUACAUACAAAUUGCUAUGUAGAAAAACAAACAACUGUUUUGCGAGAGAAC